CCGACACCUCAUCUUCUCUAUCUUCCUUCCCAAAUCUGUAAUUCCCACUCUCAUCUCUCUCUGUCUCUCUCUUUAGGUCUCUGUUUGCUCAUCUUGAUUGAAGAAAUGGGUGCUCAAGUAAGAAAUUAUGAUUGUGCAACUUACAAAAAUGAAGAGGAUACCGACAUGAGGAAAGGUCCAUGGACUGUGGAAGAGGACGCCAUACUCACUGAGUACGUUGCCAUCCACGGUGAAGGACGCUGGAACGCCGCUGCUCGCUGCGCAGGAUUGAAACGGAC
rnacentral:misc_RNA from 1 species